GGGCGACGGUUGUCCCGGUUUAAGCGUGUAGGCUGGUUUUCCAGGCAAAUCCGGAGAAUCAAGGCUGAGGCGUGAUGACGAGGCACUACGGUGCUGAAGCAACAAAUGCCCUGCUUCCAGGAAAAGCCUCUAAGCAUCAGGUAACAUCAAAUCGUACCCCAAACCGACACAGGUGGUCAGGUAGAGAAUACCAAGGCGCUUGAGAGAACUCGGGUGAAGGAACUAGGCAAAAUGGUGCCGUAACUUCGGGAGAAGGCACGCUGAUAUGUAGGUGAAGCGACUUGCUCGUGGAGCUGAAAUCAGUCGAAGAUACCAGCUGGCUGCAACUGUUUAUUAAAAACACAGCACUGUGCAAACACGAAAGUGGACGUAUACGGUGUGACGCCUGCCCGGUGCCGGAAGGUUAAUUGAUGGGGUCAGCGCAAGCGAAGCUCUUGAUCGAAGCCCCGGUAAACGGCGGCCGUAACUAUAACGGUCCUAAGGUAGCGAAAUUCCUUGUCGGGUAAGUUCCGACCUGCACGAAUGGCGUAAUGAUGGCCAGGCUGUCUCCACCCGAGACUCAGUGAAAUUGAACUCGCUGUGAAGAUGCAGUGUACCCGCGGCAAGACGGAAAGACCCCGUGAACCUUUACUAUAGCUUGACACUGAACACUGGUCCUUGAUGUGUAGGAUAGGUGGGAGGCUUUGAAGUGUGGACGCCAGUCUGCAUGGAGCCGUCCUUGAAAUACCACCCUUUAAUGGCUGGUGUUCUAACGUAGGCCCCUUACCGGGGUUGCGGACAGUGUCUGGUGGGUAGUUUGACUGGGGCGGUCUCCUCCUAAAGAGUAACGGAGGAGCACGAAGGUUGGCUAAUCCUGGUCGGACAUCAGGAGGUUAGUGCAAUGGCAUAAGCCAGCUUGACUGCGAGCGUGACGGCGCGAGCAGGUGCGAAAGCAGGUCAUAGUGAUCCGGUGGUUCUGAAUGGAAGGGCCAUCGCUCAACGGAUAAAAGGUACUCCGGGGAUAACAGGCUGAUACCGCCCAAGAGUUCAUAUCGACGGCGGUGUUUGGCACCUCGAUGUCGGCUCAUCACAUCCUGGGGCUGAAGUAGGUCCCAAGGGUAUGGCUGUUCGCCAUUUAAAGUGGUACGCGAGCUGGGUUUAGAACGUCGUGAGACAGUUCGGUCCCUAUCUGCCGUGGGCGCUGGAGAACUGAGGGGGGCUGCUCCUAGUACGAGAGGACCGGAGUGGACGCAUCACUGGUGUUCGGGUUGUCAUGCCAAUGGCACUGCCCGGUAGCUAAAUGCGGAAGAGAUAAGUGCUGAAAGCAUCUAAGCACGAAACUUGCCCCGAGAUGAGUUCUCCCUGAGACUUAGAGUCUCCUGAAGGAACGUUGAAGACGACGACGUUGAUAGGCCGGGUGUGUAAGCGCAGCGAUGCGUUGAGCUAACCGGUACUA
rnacentral:rRNA from 1 species